rnacentral:rRNA from 1 species
UCGCCUGUUUAUCAAAAACAUUGCCUCCCGCUUAUUUAUGUGAGGUACUUCCUGCCCAGUGUUAAUUAUAAACGGCCGCGGUACCCUGACCGUGCAAAGGUAGCAUAAUCAUUCGCCCUUUAAUUGUGGGCUUGUAUGAAAGGAUAAACGAGAAACUACCUGUCUCUUUCUUUAUAGUAAAAACUAGACCUUAGGUGAAGAUACCUAAAACCCUAAGCAGGACAAGAAGACCCUAAAGAGCUUCACCACUAUUUGGGUUUAGUUGGGGCGACGAAGGAAUCUUCCUCACCUUCCUAAAAAUUAAGGCAUACGCCUUUUUAAAGAUCCGAUGUAUCGACUAAAAAAUAAAGCUACCUUAGGGAUAACAGGCUAAUCCUCUUAGAGAGUCCACAUUGAAAAGAGGGGUUGGCACCUCGAUGUUGGCUUAGGGAAACCAGAAAGUGCAGCAGCUUUCCGGGUGGGUUUGUUCAACCUUUAAACCCCUACGUGAUCUGAGUUCAGACCGGA